AUAUAUCGCUAGGGGUGCAGUAAGCGCUGAGAGGAAGACAUCCAACCCUAUGAACCUGAUCCGGGUAAUGCCGGCGAAGGGAAGCGGCUGCUCGGUACC
rnacentral:ncRNA from 2 species